rnacentral:lncRNA from 1 species
CUCUUCUUGAGUUCAACGCUUCUUCUUUAUUUCUUCUUCAUGUUUCUAUCUUUCUACUUCAUUAUGGUUCGAUGUUGCUAUUUUGCUACCAUCUAAAGAUACCCCUUUUUGCUAACUAUGAAGUCAGGUAUACCUUUUUUGCAUCUCUCUCUUCCUCACUUUGCAUCUCUCUCAUCCUGAUCUAUUAUUUUUCUGAUUUUAUAGCAAAGAUUUCAAAGAAAAAGAAGAUCUUGGCAAAUCCGCUGGUUUCUCUAUCCCACCGCCACCGCUUCACCUUAUCCCACCGCCACCGCCACCGCCAUUCCUCCGCUGUCUUUUAACUACAACGCAGCUCUUCUAAUUGAUGAAAUCCAGAUUGCUAAAGAAAAGGCACAAGAGUUCUCUACUCAAUAGUGUUGAUAAUGGUGCUUCUUAUGAUUAUAGUGACAGAUCUAGUAUUUAGCUCAUCUGGUUUGUUCUUUCAAAGAGAAGAUGUAUUGAAAGCAACGAUGUUUGUCUAUUUUGGUUUAGG